CCUACGGGGGGCAGCAGUGAGGAAUAUUGGUCAAUGGACGCAAGUCUGAACCAGCCAUGCCGCGUGCAGGAAGACGGCUCUAUGAGUUGUAAACUGCUUUUGUACGAGGGUAAACGCAGAUACGCGUAUCUGUCUGAAAGUAUCGUACGAAUAAGGAUCGGCUAACUCCGUGCCAGCAGCCGCGGUAAUACGGAGGAUUCAAGCGUUAUCCGGAUUUAUUGGGUUUAAAGGGUGCGCAGGCGGAAUGUCAAGUCAGCGGUAAAAUUUCGGGGCUCAACCCCGUCGUGCCGUUGAAACUGGUUUUC
rnacentral:rRNA from 1 species